rnacentral:rRNA from 1 species
AACGAACGCUGGCGGCAUGCCUAACACAUGCAAGUCGAACGGGACCUUCGUGUCUGGUGGCGCUCGGGUGCGUAACGCGUGGGAAGCUGCACUUAGGUUCGGAAUAAUUCCCUGAAGGGGGGGCUAAUGCAGGGAAAUGUCUUCGGACAAAGGAUUUGUCGCCUUUGGAUGGGCACGAGUUGGUUUAGCUUGUUGGUAGGGUAAAAGCCGACCAAGGGGAGGAUACAUAGCUGGUUUGAGAGGAUGCUAAGCCACACUGGGAGUGAGCCGCGGCGCAGACUCCUGCGGGAGGGAGCAGUGGGUAAUACUGGACAAUGGGGUAGAGCCUGAUCCAGCAAUGCCGCGUGAGUGAUUAAGUCCGUAGGGUUGUAAAGCUCUUUUACCCGGGAUGAUAAUGACAGUACCGGGAGAAUAAGCUCCGGCUAACUCCGUG